GCUUAGGUAGUGUAGUGGAUCAGCACGGCAGAUUGGAUAUCUGUAGAUGCGGGUUCGAGUCCCGCCUGAGGUU
rnacentral:tRNA from 1 species